CUAGAAUCCUUAAAUUGUAUUAGCCCCUUCUCUCUCCUCUUCUUCCCAGCCCGAUACCACCACUCUUUCUUUUCUUCUCUCGCAUCUCAGUCGGCCAGACCAAACGAGCCAUCUCCAGCAACCACCCAAUGACACGCACCCCACCACAAGCUUCCUUGGCCCCCGAAACCCCCAACCUGUGAAGCUUGCCUCCCCACUCGUUGGCAUUCGUCGCAACUGGCCCCCCGAAGUUUUGUUGCCGAUGUGAGUUUGGAGGAUUUUUCUGGCCUCCACCGUCUUCGAAACAAGAAUUCAAGGGAAUGGUUGGGUUCGUUAGCUCAAGAUAAGCAAAACCCUAUGGAAAUUGGACUGAAAUGUCGCUGGAGAUGCUCACCAAUGUCACGAACGACUUUCUUCUUCUUCUUAUCUAUUCCAUGGAUAUACAUACACGGUAUGCUCUCUCGUCAACCCUUAUUGGUGGUGUAAUGGGUGCACAUGCUCAAUUAUGGGAGCAAAGCUUAUGAAGAAUCCAAGCAACUAGUGGAGAUCCAAACAACUCAAGGAGAUGUUAUCAAUUCAUUUCCAGUAGAUGUAUUCUCUAUAGUUGGUAGAUUUCAGAGUUUACUUUUAUUGUGUUGAAAUUUUUACAUCAAUCAAGCAAACUGCUUCAAUGUAUAUAUUUAUCUUUCUAUGUUUAUUUUCAAUUAAAAGUUCUUUGGCUUUGCAUUUAGAACUUCUUACUAUCAAGCUUCAAGUGCUUCUUGGAUAUAUAGUGUCAGAAAAACUACUUAUGACUUUGUAUUUGAUCAAACUCCAAGAAGGAUAAUGUUGGAUUCUUCUCUAGUUGGAUAAUGUUGAAAUAAUUUUAAGUUC